GACCAAGAAGUCUAACAUGUGUGCGAGUCAUUGGGUAUAUUGUUGAAACCUAAGGGCGCAAUUAAAAUAACUAUUUUAUGGGAUUACAAGUGAAUUAAAUUUCAUUUCUUCAUCCCGGGGCGUUCUAUACGAACAUGGUGCAAGCAAUUGAACCCUCUGUUCAAGAGCGUACCUUGAGCAUACAUGCUGUGACCCGAAAGAUGGUGAACUAUACCUGAUCAGAUCGAAGCCAGGAGAAAUUCUGGUGGAGGAUCGAAACAGUUCUGACGUGCAAAUCGAUUGUCAGAAUUGGGUAUAGGGGCGAAAGACCAAUCGAACCAUCUAGUAGCUGGUUCCCUCCGAAGUUUCCCUCAGGAUAGCUGGCGCAGUGAAUUAUAUUGUAUAUAAUCUUAUCUGGUAAAGCGAAUGAUUAGAGGCCUUGGGGCCGAAACGACCUCAACCUAUUCUCAAACUUUAAAUGGGUAAGAACCUCAUCUUUCUUGAUCUGAAGAUAUUGAGGUUUAGAUAUAUUGUGCCCAGUGGGCCACUUUUGGUAAGCAGAACUGGCGCUGUGGGAUGAACCAAACAUGAUGUUACGGCGCCUAAAUUAAUGACUCAUAUUGAUACCAUGAAAGGCGUUGGUUGCUUAAAACAGCAGGACGGUGGACAUGGAAGUCGUAAUCCGCUAAGGAGUGUGUAACAACUCACCUGCCGAAGCAACUAGCCCUUAAAAUGGAUGGCGCUCAAGUCAUAUGCCUAUACAUCAUCGCUAGAAUAAAAAUUGUUGACCAUUUGGUCAUCAUUAUGAAAUUCUAGUGAGUAGGAGGGUACAAUGGUGUGCGCGGAAGUGUUUGGCGUGAGCCUGCAUGAAGCCGCCAUUGGCACAGAUCUUGGUGGUAGUAGCAAAUAAUCGAAUGAGAUCUUGGAGGACUGAAGUGGAGAAGGGUUUCGUGUGAACAGUGGUUGAUCACGAGUUAGUCGGUCCUAAGCUUUAUGCGAAAGCUGUUUAAUUUAUGUUACAUACAAUACUUUUGUUGUACAUAAUUCAAUAAAAGCGAAAGGGAAUACGGUUCCAAUUCCGUAACCUGUUGAGUAUACGUUUGUUUAUUAAAAAUGGGUCUUAUUACACUCAUCCUGGCAACAGGAACGACCAUAGAGAAGCCUUCGAGAGAUACUGGAAGAGUUUUCUUUUCUGCUAAACAAACGUAUCACCAUGGAAGUCUUUUAUAGAGAGAUAUGGUGAAUGGCUUGGAAGAGCAUGACAUUUACUGUUGUGUCAGUAUUUUCUCCUUGGACCUUGAAAAUCUAUGGUGGGGCCACGCAAACUUUCUCAACAGACCGUACCGAUAUCCGCAG
rnacentral:rRNA from 1 species